AUGAAUAAAAUGGUGGUGGUGUUUGUGGGGAGCACAGACGAAGCCGAUCGGCUGGGGUGGCAAUUAGGGCUGAAAACACACCGGUGUUCCCCGUCGAACCCGGCGAGAUUGGUGGUGGUGUCCAACGUUCCUCCGUUCAUUAAGAACGAAAUGUUCAGCAGACACGGGCGCAUUGUGUCCCCGAUGAGGUACUUUGUUCUCGGGGUCAAGUCCCCGCUGCUGAGGCACGUGGUGUCUUUUAGAAGACAUGUAGUGAUGGUUUUUAAUAACGAGAAAGAGCUCGAACUGGCCCUUUGUUUUAGAGUGGAUGGUUUUGAUUAUACCGUUUAUGUCACUACCGAAUCCCAAAAAUGCUUUGGCUGUGGGGAGGAGGGCCAUCUGGUCCGGUCGUGCCCGAAUGGCGCGGAGGCCCGCCGACCCGCCCGUCAGCGCAGCGGCGCGCAUGACGAGGACAGAGAGGCCGCACAAACCACGCGGGGCGACAUGGGCCCAACCGCGGAGGUGGAGGAGCCAGCAGGUCCGCAGGGGGACCACCCGGGGGACCACCGGGACCUGCAGAAUGAACGUCUCACCGGAGCGAUGGUGGAGCGGACGGUUCCAAGAACGGCUGAGACCGUCCGGGACAUGGAGGAUGUCGGAGUGGAGGGGAGCAGCCUCAGUGUGCCCACGAAAAGGAAGAGCAAGGACACAAAAGUCAACAUCGACAAAGUAAAGAAACUGUCCACAGCAGAACCUCAUACACACAGCUCACCACACACACGUACCACACAGGACACACACUGCCCACAGAAUGUAUAUAACUCACAGGACACGCACAGCUUAGACGACACACGUACCCCACAGGACACACGUACCCCACAGGACGCACAUAGAUCACAAGACACACACAGCUUACAGGACAUGCACAGCUUAGACGACACACACAGGUCACACACAGCUCACAGGUCACACACAGCCUACAGGACACACACAGCUUACAGGACAUGCACGGCACCCCGAUGGACACACAGAGUACACAAAGUUCUUUGGUGGGCACACAGGAGGCUUCAGUUCACGGUGAUGACGUAA
rnacentral:lncRNA from 1 species